rnacentral:rRNA from 1 species
CCUGGGGAGUACGGCCGCAAGGUUAAAACUCAAAUGAAUUGACGGGGGCCCGCACAAGCGGUGGAGCAUGUGGUUUAAUUCGAUGCAACGCGAAGAACCUUACCUACUCUUGACAUCCAGAGAACUUAGCAGAGAUGCUUUGGUGCCUUCGGGAACUCUGAGACAGGUGCUGCAUGGCUGUCGUCAGCUCGUGUUGUGAAAUGUUGGGUUAAGUCCCGCAACGAGCGCAACCCUUAUCCUUUGUUGCCAGCGGUCCGGCCGGGAACUCAAAGGAGACUGCCAGUGAUAAACUGGAGGAAGGUGGGGAUGACGUCAAGUCAUCAUGGCCCUUACGAGUAGGGCUACACACGUGCUACAAUGGCGCAUACAAAGAGAAGCGACCUCGCGAGAGCAAGCGGACCUCAUAAAGUGCGUCGUAGUCCGGAUUGGAGUCUGCAACUCGACUCCAUGAAGUCGGAAUCGCUAGUAAUCGUAGAUCAGAAUGCUACGGUGAAUACGUUCCCGGGCCUUGUACACACCGCCCGUCACACCAUGGGAGUGGGUUGCAAAAGAAGUAGGUAGCUUAACCUUCGGGAGGGCGCUUACCACUUUGUGAUUCAUGACUGGGGUGAAGUCGUAACAAGGUAACCGUAGGGGAACCUGCGGUUGGAUCACCUCCUUA